rnacentral:siRNA from 1 species
AUACAUCAAUUUCGUAUGCGGCCG